AUUGAACGCUGGCGGCAGGCCUAACACAUGCAAGUCGAGCGAGCGGCGGACGGGUGAGUAAUGUAUGGGAAACUGCCCGAUGGAGGGGGAUAACUACUGGAAACGGUAGCUAAUACCGCAUACUAUCAGAUGUGCCCAGUGGGGAUUAGCUAGGAGGUGGGGUAAUGGCGCACCUAGGCGACGAUCCCUAGCUGGUCUGAGAGGAUGACCAGCCACACUGUGACUGAGACACGGUCCAGACUCCUACGGGAGGCAGCAGUGGGGAAGAUUGCACAAUGGGCGCAAGCCUGAUGAAGCCAUGCCGCGUGUAUGAAGAAGGCCCUCGGGUUGUAAAGCACUUUCAGCGGGGAGGCGUUACCCGCAGAAGAAGCACCGGCUAACUCCGUGCCAGCAGCAGCGGUAAUAC
rnacentral:rRNA from 1 species